AUAUCGCAUUGUACAAAACUCCAUUUGUAUUUUGAUCCUGAUUCUAUGUGUUGACUAUCUGUUUGAUCCUAAUUUUAAAAAGAGUGAGCGAUCUAAAAAAACCACAGAUCGACGAUGGCAAACGCGAACCCUAGCCCCAUUUUUUUUUUCUCUCGUCAACUCGUGAGUUGUAUAGUGUAGAUGUUUGAAGCCCUGAUCUGAAGCAUUUUAUCAAACUCGACGAAAUAUAAGCUUCUCGCUUGCGAUUACUUGAAGUCUUGAACCAGGUAUCUCAUGCUCACCCCCCUUCUGAUCUUACUCUCUCGGUAUGUACUCCGCCAGCUUCAAAAUUGCAAUUACUCCAAUGUUUUAGUGUUUUAGACUUAAAUUGUGUAGAUUGUAGAUAAUUGAAAGUUGGAAACUAAGAGGAUUUAUAAUUUAGAAUUUCAUAUAUGUAUUUAGAUUUUAGGGCUUGAAACAUAUAUGCAAUUAUAAUAGUUUAGGUGAUUGUUGUGAUGGUGAACCAGUCAACUGUCAACCAGGUUCCUUUUAUGAGUAUAUGUGAUUGUUGUGGCAUUUCCUCAACCAGGUUCCUUUUAUGAGUAUAGGUGAUUAUUGUGGCAUUUCCUUCAUCAUUGGUAUGUCAGUCUUCCGGAUUGCAGAUCCGUUGCACCCUGUGAUUGUGUUCCAACACAUGGUAUUCUAACCGGAUUGCAGAUCCGUUGCACCCUGUGAUUGUCUUCCAACACAUGAUAUUCUAACCCAUUCCAUAUCCACUAAGUUAAGAUAAAAAAAAAAGAACGUGCCCUAAGGCUAGUGUUAGAUUGGUAAAAAUUAUAACAUCCCAACAUAAUUUAUACCCUCUUACCUUAUAAAAGGAGAAUAUGGUAAAUCCUAUCCAAGCAAACAGAAGUGAGAGCCACAUAGUGUGAUUUCUCACAAUGAUUAAGAAAUAUCUUCUUUUAGUGUUCAACACAAGGAUAAAGAUGGUCGCAUCCAAAAUAAUCAAGAAUAAAAUAGUAAUCAAAGUGAAAAUUAUAAACAAGGUGUAUCCUUUGUAUAGAGAAACCUUAGUCUUUACUCCCGAGAAGAAGUUUGUCGUAACAAUCAUGGUUACUAGAAAUGUGAUGAACUUGUAACGUAAGGAACCAGACCUAAGUGUUGAGUUGAGCACCUCCCAACUUGUUGAGCUACGUGAUUGUUCGUCAUUGUGAUCUCAAUCUUUCUCUCUAACUUUAUGUGUGUGUUAGUGUAGAAUGGAGGCGAAAACAGUGAAUAUAAAUAUAGUGAAAUGAAGGAGGAUUUUUAUAAGCCUUUAGGGACAAUAAUUAAAUACGACAAAGGAGGAAAGAACGUUUCUCUCUAACUGGAGAGUCUUUGACCCUCAACCGUCAUGGUGUGUGAGAUUCGACAAAACGUUCUUUCCUCCUUUGACGUAUUCACUUAUUGUCCCUCAAGGCCUAUAAAAACCCUCAUUUUCCAUUUUAUCAUAUCUAUAUUCACUGCUUUCGCGUCCAUUGUACACCAACACACACAACUAGAGAGAAAGAUUGAGAUCGCCAUGGUGAACAAUCAUUUAGCUCAACAAGUUGGCGGACGACCGGUUGGUUACUCACAAUUUCGGGUUCCCCAUACUUUUAGUAACCAUGAUUGCUGCUGCAAAUUUCUUCUGGGAAGUGAAGACCAAGUCUUCUCUAUUCAAAGGGUAUACCAUGUUUAUGAUUCACUUUGAUUAUUGAUUUAUUCUUGAUUAUUUUUGAUGCGACCAUCUUUCUCCUUUGAUGAACAUUAAAAGAAGAAAUAUUUUGGUUAUUGUGAGAAAUUACACUAUGUGGCUUUCACUUCUGUUUGUUUGGAUAUAAUUUACCUUAUUCUCCUUCUACAAGGUGAGAGUGUAUAAAUUCUAGUGGAAUGUUAAAGUUUUUACCACUCUAACACUAACAUUAAUUCACGUUCUUCUCUUUUAUCUCAUCUUUAGUGGAUAUGGGGUGUGUUAGAAUACCAUGUGUUGGAGGACAACCACACGGUGCACCGAAUCUACGAAUCCACAGGGAGAUAUGAUGAAUCUGGAAGACGGAAAUACUAAUGAUGAAGAAGGAAAUGCCAUUGAUGAAGAAGUUGAAAAUCUGGAAUGACGAUAAUAUAACUUAAGGAAGAUUGUUGAUUUAAGUUUUAGAGAUAUAGAUUUAAGUUUUUAAGUUAAAUGAAAUGAAAAUACUAUGCUAAGCAUUUAGGGAAAACGAAAACUAAAAUGACAGCGAUUGAUAUUAACUUAAAAACUUAAAUCUGCAUCUCUAAAACUUAAAUCAACAAUCUUCGUCAAGUUGUAUUAUCUUCAUUUCAGAUUUUUAUAAUCUUAUGUUAUCAUUUUCUUUGUGAAUCUUUUCUUUGAUAUAUAUACAUCAUGUCAUUUUAUUUAUAUAUGAACCAUAUAUAAACAUUAUAAAAAUGUAAAAUAUAAAACACUUUUGGAUUUAUUAAUCUAGCUUCGUCAAUUUAGUUAGUGAUAGUUAAAUUUCAAUCUCUUAAAGUUUAAAAUUUCAAACAUGAGAUAUAAAAAAUGUGUUAAGCAUGCUACUUGAUACAUAAAAUUCUAAUUAGUUUAGAAGUUUAUUGAUUUUUUCUGUAAUUAAAAGAUGGUUGUUUUGUGAGGAAAAUUAUAUUAAGUUUAAAAUUUCAAGAUUAUCGUGAAAUACAAAUAAAUGUAGUAGACAUGUUAUUUGAUACUAACUAGAGCGUUUCCCACUUCACUGCGACAGAGGCAAUCAAUAUUUUGGUGCAUGUUUGAUUAUACAGAUUACAGAACAGAAGCGAGUUGGAAUUAUAAGAAAAUGUUAUGUGCAAUGUAUGUGUUUGGUUAUCAUAAAUGGAAUGGAAUUGGAUUCAAAGGUAAAAAGUGGAUAGCUUUUUAUAUUUCAUUUAUAAAUUAAUUUUUUAGCAUAUGGUAAAUAUAUAGAUAAUUAACUUUUUUAUAAUAUUUAUUUCAAUAUGCAUCAAGUGGAUAGUAAUAAGUAACAUUUGGAGUUCAGACUUCAAAAACAUUGAUUUAAAGGUAACUUGCACCCAUAACUGUAGCAUUGUAAUUACAAAUGCAAAUCGUGUCCACCAUUUCCACUUCAUGUACCUAAUUUGUUAAGUAAUAGAAGAAAUUUUAUAUUAAGCGGCAUCUCUACAAUCUACAUACAUCACUUGAAAAGGAAUAUUUUAUAUUUACAAUCAUUUUUCUAGUUUACCAAUCCAAUGUUCCAAUCAUACAAUUACUCGUAAACAAUCAGAAACAUAGCAUUCUAGUUCAGACAGCUUGAUUGAUUAACAGAAGUUAAGAAAAAUUUACUAAUCCCCCAACCCAAGUAAUGUGUAAAAAUGCGUAAUAAACCAAUUAAUGAGAGGAGGUUGCUACUUAUUGUAUACACCCAAUAUAAUUCUAAAAAAAUAUCAACUUACUUUCAUUUAUUAGUGGAUUAUAACACCUUACUUUCAAAAUCUUUUUUUAGCUUAAAAAUUGGUACACAAAGGGGAAGAAAUGAAAGUUAAGUUGUUACAUAAAAAAAUAUAGUAAAGUUUAUGAUUUUGAAGUAAAAAAAUGCACAUCGGCUUUAGUGUAUUGAAUAUCCACAACAGAGUUAGUAUCGUAACUUAUCAUCCGGAGUCCUUUUCCUUGCCUAUGGUUUAAACGGAUAAAAUUGAUCAUGUUAAUUGAACUCAUUGUCAAUACCUUGUCUAUAAAGAUGAACAAAAUAAAGAAACAUUGUAAAAUACGAUAUACAUAUAUGUAAUGUAUUUUACUAAUUUCCAGAAAACAAAAAAAAAGUAUACAAAAUUUGCAAUUUGUUGCACACAUUUUCUCUGGUAGCAUGUUAAAAUUAAGGCAUUGCAUCGAUGCAAGUUAGUUAGUACAAACGGAACCAAUUAAUUGGUUAUUUUCAUAGUUGAAUGAAUACACAAAUGGUGGCCUAAGUUGUAUCUUUUGAAAAUGUUCUUCAUUAUAUUUACCAUUUUGUUCCUUUCUUCUCUGUGUGUUUUGACGGAAAGAUGAACAGAGGGUAACAGAGUAGACACCCUCGUCUACUGGUAUUCAUAUUCUCAGGUAAAAGAGUAGAAGUCACUACCCAAUUCAAUCUUAAAUUAGAAUUCUUCAGUCUUUUGUAAAUUUUUAUUCAAACCGAUUUUUUUUUUUUCAUGUCUACAAGUCACUUAGCUUUCAAUAAAUUUGGAUUCCAUUUUUUUUUUCGUAUGAUUUGUUUUCUUUUGUCCACAUGAGCUUACCUUUAUUGUUUUUACUCAACUCACAUACAGAAAAAUUAUGAUUUUCCUAUGAUGGAAUAGGCACCCUAAGUGUUUGAUGUAAUGUCCCAAAGAAGGUAGUAUAAGGUUUGACAGAAGGUUUUUUUGGUUCUCAAUGUUUUUUUAAUUUUUGAUGAAAGGGUUUUUCUAAUACUCUUAUACUCCAUGUCGACAAAUCAUUUUACUAGAAUGUUGUGAUCAUCUCUCUGAUUGGAAUGUCCAUCCAUUGGAAAAGUGGUGGUUUCUUAUCAGAAACGAGUGUCAUAAGAGAUGUGUGCAGAGCUUAUAUUGGUUGCUGUAAGCCAUGGUUUUAAAACAAGAUUGGAUUUCAUAUGAGAACUUGUUGAAGCUAACAAGAAAAGAGAAGGAAACCUCGUUACUCUCGAACAAGUGUCUACUUUCUUUCAUAUAUAUAGUUGCUUCUAAUACUAGCAAGACACUCUUGAACAAGAAAAAUCAAUCAAAGGUGAAGGAGUUGAAUUAAUAUGUUGCACUUAAGAACGUGAGUAUGAUUCAAAAUGUGACUACCAAACUUUGCAAUCUCCUAGAAUGAACAGCAAGGAAAAGGAAGCGGUGAGCAAGCCUUGAAUGUGGGAACAACUUUUGGAUCCUAAAUAUAGAGCAUCUUGGGAAGGUUGUGGAGUUGAGCAGAUAUUACUUUCAACAAACCGAGGCGAGUCUCUUCCCGGUAUUACGUGUCGAAGGCACCAAGGCCGACCAAUUAUUUGUUAUGCAAUAUAUUAAUUGUUGUGGGUUGUUUGUUAUGAUUAGGUUGAAAUACACCCAAGGGAGGGGGCCCAAUAUGAUAUGUCGGGUUGAAAUAUACCCUAGGGCGGGGACUACUGUGAAUUGUUGGGUUGAAAUAAACCCUAGGGCGGGAGCCCAUAUUUGUGUUGGGUUGGUACGAACCCUAGGAUUAGGCCCAUUUGUAUGCUUGGUAUGUGUUAUUUAGGAAACUCACUAACUUUUGCUUACAGUUUAUUUGGGUGUUUCGGGUACUUUCGGUACUAAGGGGAAGAGCCCGACUUGAUGUCGCAUCAUUCAUUCUCCAUCAUUUUCCGCAUUUAUUGUUAUGGAUACUCUGAUAUUUUGUUAUGACUUGAUGUAAUGGAUUUAUUUUAAACAAUUAUGAAUGAAAUUCCCAA